rnacentral:rRNA from 1 species
AUGUUUGGACCUCUCCUGUUGCCAGUAAUACGGGCUUUCUUUAUUACCUUGUCAUACUUGAUGAUUUUUCGCAUUAUGUGUGGACCUUCCCGUUGCGCCGCAAGUCGGAUGUUAUAUCCACACUCGCCGCCUUCUACUCCUAUGUUCUCACGCAGUUUGGUCGUCUCAUUCUCGCGUUGCAGACAGACAACGGGAAGGAGUUUGACAACCUCGCUGUUCGUAAUCUUCUCACCACACAUGCACGAUUUUUCGUCUCACUUGCUCGUACACCUCGCAGCAGAACGGUCGCGCUGA